GGCCUGGUGGUCUAGUAGUAUGAUUCCUUCUUAGGGCUUUUCAUUGGUCAAUUUGGAGGAGGUCCCGGGUUCAAUUCCCGGCCAGGCCC